rnacentral:rRNA from 1 species
UACGGGGGGGGCAAGCGUUGUUCGGAAUUACUGGGCGUAAAGGGCGCGUAGGCGGCCUAUUAAGUCGGACGUGAAAUCCCUCGGCUCAACCGGGGAACUGCGUCCGAUACUGGCAGGCUUGAAUCCGGGAGAGGGAUGUGGAAUUCCAGGUGUAGCGGUGAAAUGCGUAGAUAUCUGGAGGAACACCGGUGGCGAAGGCGGCAUCCUGGACCGGUAUUGACGCUGAGGCGCGAAAGCUAGGGGAGCAGACGGG